GGUUAAGUGACUAAGCGUACACGGUGGAUGCCUUGGCAGUCAGAGGCGAUGAAAGACGUAGUAACUUGCGAUAAGCCCAGAUUAGGUAGUAACAACCAUUUGAGUCUGGGAUUUCUGAAUGGGGAAACCCACUUACAUAAGUAAGUAUCAUUAACUGAAUACAUAGGUUAAUGAGGCGAACCGGGGGAACUGAAACAUCUAAGUACCCCGAGGAAAAGAAAUCAACCGAGAUUCCGAAAGUAGCGGCGAGCGAAAUUGGACUAGCCCUUAAGCUUUACACGCGUUAGACGAACGGUCUGGAAAGUCCGACGAUACAGGGUGAUAGUCCCGUAGUUGACGACGUGUGUUCAGUGAAAUCGAGUAGGGCGGGACACGUGAUAUCCUGUCUGAAUAUGGGGGGACCAUCCUCCAAGGCUAAAUACUACUGACUGACCGAUAGUGAACCAGUACCGUGAGGGAAAGGCGAAAAGAACCCCUGUGAGGGGAGUGAAAUAGAACCUGAAACCGUGUACGUACAAGCAGUAGGAGCAGGCUUUGUCCUGUGACUGCGUACCUUUUGUAUAAUGGGUCAGCGACUUAUAUUCAGUGGCAAGGUUAACCAUCUAGGGGAGCCGUAGGGAAACCGAGUCUUAACUGGGCGUUCAGUCUCUGGAUAUAGACCCGAAACCAGGUGAUCUAGCCAUGGGCAGGUUGAAGGUUGAGUAACAUCAACUGGAGGACCGAACCGACUAAUGUUGAAAAAUUAGCGGAUGACUUGUGGCUAGGGGUGAAAGGCCAAUCAAACCUGGAGAUAGCUGGUUCUCCCCGAAAGCUAUUUAGGUAGCGCCUCGGACGAAUACUACUGGGGGUAGAGCACUGUUAAGGCUAGGGGGUCAUCCCGACUUACCAACCCUUUGCAAACUCCGAAUACCAGUAAGUACUAUCCGGGAGACACACGGCGGGUGCUAACGUCCGUCGUGGAGAGGGAAACAACCCAGACCGCCAGCUAAGGUCCCAAAUUACUACUAAGUGGGAAACGAUGUGGGAAGGCUCAGACAGCCAGGAUGUUGGCUUAGAAGCAGCCAUCAUUUAAAGAAAGCGUAAUAGCUCACUGGUCGAGUCGGCCUGCGCGGAAGAUGUAACGGGGCUAAGUAGUAAACCGAAGCUGCGGCAAUAUACUUUUGUAUAUUGGGUAGGGGAGCGUUCUGUAAGCGGUUGAAGGUGUGUGGUAACGCAUGCUGGACGUAUCAGAAGUGCGAAUGCUGACAUGAGUAACGAUAAAGGGGGUGAAAAACCUCCUCGCCGGAAGACCAAGGGUUCCUGUCCAACGUUAAUCGGGGCAGGGUAAGUCGACCCCUAAGGCGAGGCCGAAAGGCGUAGUCGAUGGGAAACGGGUUAAUAUUCCCGUACUUCUUACAAUUGCGAUGGGGGGACGGAGAAGGCUAGGUGGGCCUGGCGACGGUUGUCCAGGUUCAAGUGCGUAGGCUU
rnacentral:rRNA from 1 species